rnacentral:lncRNA from 1 species
UUUAAUUUUUCAGUUUUUCUCUCUCCUUUCCCCAUUCUCUGUCGAAGUGUUCAUCAAAAUUGACAUGAACAAAAAUUCUAACAGCCAAAUACAAACAAUUUUCAAUAAAUCGUUCUAAAAUAAAAUUGUAGAACUUGAUGGUGAUGACAACAAAAGAGUAGAAGACGGUGGUGAUGAUGUAGGAGGAAGAGAGGAGACAAACUUGUGUGUUUAAAAGAUGCAUAGUCGAUUUGAU